AUUGAACGCUGGCGGCAGGCUUAACACAUGCAAGUCGAGCGGUAGCACAGGGGAGCUUGCUCCCUGGGUGACGAGCGGCGGACGGGUGAGUAAUGUCUGGGAAACUGCCUGAUGGAGGGGGAUAACUACUGGAAACGGUAGCUAAUACCGCAUAACGUCGCAAGACCAAAGAGGGGGACCUUCGGGCCUCUUGCCAUCAGAUGUGCCCAGAUGGGAUUAGCUAGUAGGUGGGGUAAUGGCUCACCUAGGCGACGAUCCCUAGCUGGUCUGAGAGGAUGACCAGCCACACUGGAACUGAGACACGGUCCAGACUCCUACGGGAGGCAGCAGUGGGGAAUAUUGCACAAUGGGCGCAAGCCUGAUGCAGCCAUGCCGCGUGUGUGAAGAAGGCCCUCGGGUUGUAAAGCACUUUCAGCGAGGAGGAAGGUGGUGAGCUUAAUACGUUCAUCAAUUGACGUUACUCGCAGAAGAAGCACCGGCUAACUCCGUG
rnacentral:rRNA from 1 species